rnacentral:rRNA from 1 species
UACGAACUGUGCAAACGUUAUUCGGAAUCACUGGGCUUAAAGGGUGCGUAGGCGGCUUGUUAAGUAGGGUGUGAAAUCCCCCGGCUCAACCGGGGAAUUGCGCCCUAAACUGGCGAGCUGGAGUGAGAUAGGGGUGUGUGGAACUUCCAGUGGAGCGGUGAAAUGCGUAGAUAUCGGAAGGAACGCCGGUGGCGAAAGCGAUCGACUGGACCUUUUCUGACGCUGAGGCGCGAAAGCCAGGGGAGCAAACGGG